AAUCAUGGCUCAGGACGAACGCUGGCGGCGCGCCUAACACAUGCAAGUCGAACGGAGCUGAGAGGAGCUUGCUUUUCUUAGCUUAGUGGCGAACGGGUGAGUAACGCGUGAGUAACCUGCCCUGGAGUGGGGGACAACAGUUGGAAACGACUGCUAAUACCGCAUAAGCCCACGGCCCGGCAUCGGGCUGAGGGAAAAGGAUUUAUUCGCUUCAGGAUGGACUCGCGUCCAAUUAGCUAGUUGGUGAGG
rnacentral:rRNA from 1 species